GACGUAGGAGGCGAGCGUUGUCCGGAUUCAUUGGGCGUAAAGAGCACGCAGGCGGUUUGGCAAGUCGGAUGUGAAAACCCGAAGCUCAACUUCGGGCCUGCAUCCGAAACUGCCCGACUAGAGGUAGGUAGGGAGAUCGAAUUCCGUGGUGUAGCGGUGAAAUGCGCAGAUAUCAGGAGGAACACCGGUGGCGAAGGCGGAUCUCUGGGCCGAUACUGACGCUGAGGAGCGAAAGCGUGGGGAGCGAACAGG
rnacentral:rRNA from 1 species